GGAGAUCGCAACAAGUUUUUGAAUGACGAAUGCUCGGUUUUGAUGCUCAGCACACGCGCCUGGGAUGAGUCAAAUUUGAUGGACGAGUUCCUUCGUUAACGAUGGGCGAACAAUCGCCGACUUCACGAGAAAACUUCCUCAUCAGCACCGAAUGACCGCAGGCCGCACAAAUCAUCAUUUCGACCAUUUCCUCUCACAAUACAACAAUCGCACUGUGGAUAAAUACUCAAACUCGACGACUGGUGCAAUAAUGGUGUCGCUGACCAGCGGACAGUCGCAAUAAUGGCGGAGACCAUUACCCAGUCAAAAUUUAUUUGAAAAGAUCAAAUAAACAAACACUGUCCGAAAAAUCAGAGAAGUCAACUGAAGGAGUAUCUCGAGAACAAUGAGC